UACGGGGGGAGCAAGCGUUGUUCGGAUUUACUGGGCGUAAAGGGCGCGUAGGCGGCCUCUGCAAGUCGACUGUGAAAUCUCCGGGCUUAACCCGGAAAGGUCAGCCGAUACUGCAGGGCUAGAGUGCAGAAGGGGCAACUGGAAUUCUCGGUGUAGCGGUGAAAUGCGUAGAUAUCAAGAGGAACACCUGAGGUGAAGACGGGUUGCUGGGCCGACACUGACGCUGAGUGCGCGAAAGCCAGGGGAGCAAACGGG
rnacentral:rRNA from 1 species